GACGAACGCUGGCGGCGUGCUUAACACAUGCAAGUCGAACGGAAAGGCCCUGCUUUUGUGGGGUGCUCGAGUGGCGAACGGGUGAGUAACACGUGAGUAACCUGCCCUUGACUUUGGGAUAACUUCAGGAAACUGGGGCUAAUACCGGAUAGGAGCUCCUGCUGCAUGGUGGGGGUUGGAAAGUUUCGGCGGUUGGGGAUGGACUCGCGGCUUAUCAGCUUGUUGGUGGGGUAGUGGCUUACCAAGGCUUUGACGGGUAGCCGGCCUGAGAGGGGGACCGGCCAAAUUGGGACGGAGAUACGGCCCAGACCCCUACGGGAGGAAGCAGUGGGGAAUAUGGCACAAUGGGCGGAAGCCUGAUGCAGCAACGCCGCGUGCGGGAUGACGGCCUUCGGGUUGUAAACCGCUUUCGCCGGUGACGAAGCGUGAGUGACGGUAAUGGGUAAAGAAGCACCGGCUAACUACGUG
rnacentral:rRNA from 1 species